rnacentral:tRNA from 1 species
GGGGAUUUAGCUCAGUGGUAGAGCGCUUGCCUAGCAAGCACAAGGCCCUGGGUUCGGCCCAGCUCCG